rnacentral:rRNA from 1 species
UACGUAGGGGGCGAGCGUUGUCCGGAGUUACUGGGCGUAAAGUGCACGCAGGCGGUCUGCUAAGUUUGGAGUGACAGUUGGUGGCUUAACUGCCAAAGUGCUUCGAAAACUGACAGACUUGAGGGCUUCAGAGGGACACGGAAUUCCGGGUGGAGUGGUGAAAUGCGUAGAGAUCCGGAGGAACACCAAAGGCGAAGGCAGUGUCCUGGGGAGUACCUGACGCUCAGGUGCGAAAGCCAGGGGAGCGAACGGG